GACGAACGCUGGCGGCGUGCCUAACACAUGCAAGUCGAGCGAGAGGAGUUCUUCGGAACAAAUCUAGCGGCGGACGGGUGAGUAACACGUGGGCAACCUGCCUUAUAGAGGGGAAUAGCCUUCCGAAAGGAAGAUUAAUACCGCAUAACAUUGCAUUUUCGCAUGAAGAAGCAAUUAAAGGAGCAAUCCGCUAUAAGAUGGGCCCGCGGCGCAUUAGCUAGUUGGUGAGGUAACGGCUCACCAAGGCGACGAUGCGUAGCCGACCUGAGAGGGUGAUCGGCCACACUGGAACUGACACACGGUCCAGACUCCUACGGGUGGCUG
rnacentral:rRNA from 1 species